rnacentral:rRNA from 1 species
GACGAACCACACGAACGUUAUUCGGAAUCACUGGGCUUAAAGGGUGCGUAGGCGGCGCGGAAAGUAGGGUGUGAAAUCCCUCGGCUCAACCGAGGAAUAGCGCCCUAAACUACCGUGCUCGAGGGAGAUAGAGGUGAGCGGAACUUAGGGUGGAGCGGUGAAAUGCGUUGAUAUCCUAAGGAACACCGGUGGCGAAAGCGGCUCACUGGAUCUCUUCUGACGCUGAGGCACGAAAGCUAGGGUAGCGAACGGG